UUCAUGGUCUGAACUUUCAAAGUUUCAACUCUUUGUGUCCACAGAAAUACGGUAGGUUCCAACAUGUCUGGUUGGAUGGUCGUGCAAAAUGUCGAGUCAGAAUUUUAAACUCCAACUUUCUCAGUGGAAUUGUUUUUUCCUCGAGUUGCGUUGAGCGGCGCAUAUGAAGCCGAAGGAAAGAUUGUUUCGAUGUACCCAAUUUCUGGGCUUGGAAACUGGCAAAUUCGGGAUUUUAGCUUGGGUUUGACCAUUCGGAUUUCUGGCUUUGCGAUUGAAGAUGGAUACAUAAAUAUUCGGAGUUACUCGAACCGAGAAAUUGUUUUGAAUGAUCCCAUUUCCGACGUGGCGAAUCAUGUGCUUUUCCCCGACUUGGUAACCGCUGAUAGUGCGGAUGGUUUGGGGAUCGAGGUUCUCGGAAUUUUGGGAGAAAUGUUUGAGAGGGAGGUGAAACACCCGAUCGCUAAUUCGGUCCUGGACUAUUUAAACUUUAAAUUCUCAAAUACUCCAAUCACCGAAAUUAUUGGGACAACGAGGCCACCCUGCUAAUCCAGAAUUUUGUUUGACGACCGGUACUAACACUUGAAUUUGGGAACCGUGAACCAUAUGUGUAAUUAGUUUUCAAAAAUUUAUUCAGCUUAAAUCAAUUUGUUCCAUUGUGUAGAAUUAUGAAACAAAACUUAUUCAUGCAAUGAAACCUUAAUGGAAAGACAGCAUACAUAAAUAUGUACAUACAUACAUGUUUGCAAAAGCACUAAGCAUCGAUUUUUUCUUAAUGGUAAAUUGGCUUCAAAAUUUUGACCAAAAUAUAUGUAAGCUUUAAGAUAAAUAUAUAAGCUUUCAUGUACAUAUGCAUGUAAAUAAAUGUUUGGCGUCAAAGCCGAAAUUA